rnacentral:rRNA from 1 species
AUGCAGUCGAACGGAACUGAGGAGCUUGCUCCUUUAGUUUAGUGGCGGACGGGUGAGUAAUGCGUGAGCAACCUGCCCUUCAGAGGGGGACAACAGCUGGAAACGGCUGCUAAUACCGCAUGAAGUACAGAGAAGGCAUCUUCUUUGUACCAAAGAUUUAUCGCUGAAGGAUGGGCUCACGUCUGAUUAGUUUGUUGGUGAGGUAAUGGCUCACCAAGACUGCGAUCAGUAGCCGGACUGAGAGGUUGAACGGCCACAUUGGGACUGAGAUACGGCCCAGACUCCUACGGGAGGCAGCAGUGGGGAAUAUUGGGCAAUGGGGGAAACCCUGACCCAGCAACGCCGCGUGAAGGAAGAAGGCUUUCGGGUUGUAAACUUCUUUUAAGAGGGAAGAAAAAAAUGACGGUACCUCUUGAAUAAGCCACGGCUAACUACGUGCCAGCAGCCCGCGGUAAUACGUAGGUGGCAAGCGUUGUCCCGGAUUUACUGGGUGUAAAGGGCGCGUAGGCGGGAUGGCAAGUCAGAUGUGAAAUACCAGGGCUUAACCCUGGGGCUGCAUUUGAAACUGCUGUUCUUGAGUGAUGGAGAGGCAGGCGGAAUUCCUA